rnacentral:rRNA from 1 species
UCGGGAAUAUUGCGCAAUGGAGGAAACUCUGACGCAGUGACGCCGCGUAUGGGAAGAAGGUUUUCGGAUUGUAAACCAUUUUAGACAGGGAAGAAGAAGUGACAGUACCCGUAAAAUAAGCUCCGGCUAACUACGUGCCAGCAGCCGCGGUAAUACGUAGGGAGCAAGCGUUAUCCGGAAUUAUUGGGUGUAAAGGGUGCGUAGACGGGAUAAUAAGUUAGUUGUGAAAUCCCACGGCCCAACCGUGGAACUGCCUUUGAAACUGGCAGACUUGAGUGUCGGAGAGGGUGGCGGAAUUCCAGGUGUAGGAGUGAAAUCCGUAGAUAUCUGGAGGAACACCGGUGGCGAAGGCGGCCACCUGGACGAUAACUGACGCUGAGGUGCGAAAGCGUGGGUAGCAAACA